rnacentral:tRNA from 2 species
GGAGGAUUCGCAUAGUGGCCUAGUGCGCACGAUUGGAAAUCGUGUUGGGGUAACACCCUCGCGGGUUCAAAUCCCGCAUCCUCCGCCA